CGUAGGGGCGAAGCGUUAUCCGGAUUUACUGGGUGUAAAGGGAGCGUAGACGGAAGAGCAAGUCUGAUGUGAAAAGGCUGGGGCGUUAAACCCCAGGACUGCAUUGGAAAACUGUUUUUCUUAGAGUGCCGGAGAGGUAAGCGGAAUUCCUAGUGUAGCGGUGAAAUGCGUAGAUAUUAGGAGGAACACCAGUGGCGAAGGCGGCUUACUGGACGGUAACUGACGUUGAGGCUCGAAAAGCGUGGGGAGCAAACAGGAUU
rnacentral:rRNA from 1 species